GACGAACGCUGGCGGCGUGCUUAACACAUGCAAGUCGAACGGAAAGGCCCUGCUUUUGUGGGGUGCUCGAGUGGCGAACGGGUGAGUAACACGUGAGUAACCUGGCCUUGACUUUGGGAUAACUUCAGGAAACUGGGGCUAAUACCGGAUAGGAGCUCCUGCUGCAUGGUGGGGGUUGGCAUGUUUCGGCGGUUGGGGAUGGACUCGCGGAUUAUCAUCUUUUUGGUGGGGUGGUGGCUUAUCAAGGCUUUGAUGGGUAGCCGGCCUGAGAGGGUGACCGGCCACAUUGGGACUGAGAUACGGCCCAGAAUCCUACGGGAGGCAGCAGUGGGGAAUAUUGCACAAUGGGCGGAAGCCUGAUGCAGCAACGCCGCGUGCGGGAUGACGGCCUUCGGGUUGUAAACCGCUUUCGCCUGUGACGAAGCGUGAGUGACGGUAAUGGGUAAAGAAGCACCGGCUAACUACGUG
rnacentral:rRNA from 1 species